CACAGAGGCCGUAGUGCUGGGACUCUGGGCCCCUGCCCCGAGUCUCCAAAAUGGGCUGCUCCAGGUUGCAGGGGUGUGUCCCACAGGUGAGCUCUGUCAUCACUCAUCCUAUGGGAGCGGUGAAACGGUACAUGUUUUCAGCAAGGAGCCACUUCAGGCAGAACUGAACUCUCAGAAAUGCCUUGCACUACCUGCUCAGGGAUUCCUUCAAGCAAUGUCCCAGGUGACAGUUUCCUUUGCACUAGGCCAAACCUAAGAUUCAACCAACUAUGGAUUGAAAAUAUUUGGGGAAAAUAAUCCCAGAAAGUCCUCAAACGCAAAACUUGCAUUUGCUGAGUGCUGGAACUAAGGCCCCCGCCCACGUGGAGGAUGGCAACUUCAGGCUGAGCACGAGCACAGGGACCCCAGGCUGGUUGAAACCAGAAGGCUAACGAUUGAGAUUCUCAGAACGCCACCUGUUAUCUCACCAACCAAUCAGAGGAGGGUUACACACCCUGCAGCCCUCCCCCCAGGUUUUGCCUAUAAACACUUCUUUCCUGAAACCCCUCGGGUCUUUUGAGCGUGAGCCACUGGUUGUCCUCAUUUAUUGGCCCUGAAAUAAACCUUUCUCUGCUCCAAAGUCAACAUUUGUGUUUGU